CGAUCCCAGGUCAGGCGGGAUUACCCGCUGAGUUUAAGCAUAUCAAUAAGCGGAGGAAAAGAAACUUACCAGCAUUCCCCUAGUAACGGCGAGCGAACCGGGAAAAGUCCAGCUUGAGAAUCGGGCGCCAUCGGCGUUCGAAUUGUAGUCUGGAGAAGCGUCCUCAGCGGCGGACUGGGCCCAAGUCCCCUGGAAAGGGGCGCCGAAGAGGGUGAGAGCCCCGUCGUGCCCGGACCCUGUCGCACCACGAGGCGCUGUCUACGAGUCGGGUUGUUUGGGAAUGCAGCCCUAAUCGGGUGGCAAAUUCCGUCCAAGGCUAAAUACGGGCGAGAGACCGAUAACGAACAAGUAUCGCGAGGGAAAGAUGAAAAGGACUUUGAAAAGAGAGUCAAAGAGUGCUUGAAAUUGUCAGGAGGGAAGCGGAUGGGGGCCGGCGAUGCGCCCCGGUCGGAUGUGGAACGGCGAGAGCCGGUUCGCCGAUCGGCUCGGGGCGUGGACUGACGCGGGUCGUGGCGGCGGCCCAAGCCCGGGCCUUUGAUACGCCUGUAGAUACAUCAUUGCCUCGAUCGUGGGAUCCAGCACGCGCCGUCUCGGCGUGCUUCGGCACCUGCGUGCUCUGGGCGUCGGCCUGCGGGCUCUCCAUUCGGCCUGUCUUGAAACACGUACCAAGGAGUCUGACAUGUGUACGAGUCAACGGGCUGGGAAACCCGUAAGGUGCAAGGAAGCUGAUUGGCGGGAUCCCUCGCGGGUGCACCGCCGACCGACCUUAAUCUUCUGAGAAGGGUUCGAGUGAGAGCAUGCCUCUCAGGACCCGAAAGAUGGUGAACUAUGCCUGAGCGGGGCGAAGCCAGAGGAAACUCUGGUGGAGACCCGCAGCGAUACUGAUGUGCAAAUCGUUCGUCUGACUUGGGUAUAGGGGUGAAAGACUAAUCGAACCGUCUAGUGUCACGGGCCAGAGUUUAAAGCCCGUGACCAUCGAACCAAAUGCAUCCGAUGGAGGUCUAUUACUUAGAUGGGGAUCAUUUGGCCCACGAGAGCUGGCCCGAUUCAAGGAACUAAUGGAGAAGCCUGUCAGAUUGAAGCCUGGUUGGCCCGAUAGCGAAGAUAUGGCAACUUAGGCAUCUAUGGUAACUAAUCUUUAAAGAUAAAGGGAAUCAUAUCUUGUAAAGAUUAGAUAGGAUUUGAUAUGGCAAUAUCUUGUAAAAUCCCUUAAAUCAUGGGAUUAGUUAAUCUCGUCCGUCGAUGUAAUUGUAUCUUGACCGUCGGUUUUGGGGGAGCUCAAGUAUAAAUAGAGAGCCUCCCCCUCAUUUGUACGGACUCCAUUCAUUGUUCCAUUAUUCUUUGUGAAUAAGAGAAUAGAGAGCAUUUACUCAAACACUUUGUGUGCAUCCCUUUCUGUUGUUCUUUUUAAGCUUCUUUUGGCAUAAGAAGUCUUCCGCUGUACGAGUUGGUGCCUUGGAGGAGUUCUUAAGUAAUCCUCAUUCGAGUAAAGGCUGACUUGGGUGAGUUUGGACGAGUGAAUCGCCUAAGGCCGCACGGAUUGCGAGACGAAAGGUCUAGCCCUGCGACAAGUGGUAUCCGAGCUGUUGGUUCGAAGGCACUGUUGGGAUGUCGAAAGAAGAGUGCGAACAAAGGAGGGCAAGAAAAGGUUUGAGGGAGAUGCUGUCAGCAGUAGAGGAACGUGUGGAUAAACUCAAGAGAUCCAUGGAGGACGUAAAGGAGGCACUCGAUGGGUUCGAGGGUCACAUAGACAACUGGAAGGAACAGUCCAGAGGCUAUGUAAAGAUGUCUCUUGAUUCGACCAUGGAUAAGGUAAACGAGUUAUUUAAUUCACAUAAAGAUAAACUGUCAGACAGGAACGAUGCUCUUGAGGCCAUGUUGAUGGCUUUGAAGGAGGAAACAAUGGCCACGACGCCGGCUUUAAGCACAAGAAUAGAGGAGCUCGAGGGAGAGCUGGCCUUGUGUCGAGCAGCUGUGGGGGAAGGAGUGUCAAGUGCAGCACUCAGUAGCGAGUAUGUCCUGAAGCCGAAAGAGUUUGUGGGGACUAGGUCUGCAUGUAAUGUGGAUAAUUUCUUGUGGAGGAUGGAAAACUACUUCCGUGCCAAAGGCAUCGUGGAUGAUGUGGGUAAGGUACAAACUGCUUCAUUAUUUCUUACUGAUAUUGCACUUUUAUGGUGGCGAGGUAGGACCACAGAUAAAAGGCAAGGUGAGAUUGGAACAUGGGAGAAGUUCCAAUGCGAGUUGAAGGGACAGUUUUACCCGGAGUUUGCCGAGGAAGAAGCUCGGGUAAAGUUGCAACGGAUAACGCAACGGGGCACAGUGGGGGAGUAUGUUCGUGAGUUCAAGGAACUCAUGCUCCAAGUGUCGGAUGUGACCGAGAGAGAAGCAAUGCUUGCUUUUCAAGAGGGAUUGAAGUCGUGGGUCAGACAGGAGGUGGAACAAAGAGGUGUCCAAAAGCUUUCGGAAGCCAUGAAGGUAGCAGUAUCCGUGGUUAAGCUUG
rnacentral:rRNA from 1 species